AUCCAGCUGACGAGUUCCAAAUAGGAUGAAACACGCGUUAAACAU
rnacentral:hammerhead_ribozyme from 1 species